rnacentral:rRNA from 1 species
UACGGAGGGAGCUAGCGUUGUUCGGAAUUACUGGGCGUAAAGCGCGCGUAGGCGGCUUUGUAAGUUAGAGGUGAAAGCCCGGGGCUCAACCCAGGAACUGCCUUUAAGACUGCAUCGCUUGAAUCCAGGAGAGGUGAGUGGAAUUCCGAGUGUAGAGGUGAAAUUCGUAGAUAUUCGGAAGAACACCAGUGGCGAAGGCGGCUCACUGGACUGGUAUUGACGCUGAGGUGCGAAAGCGUGGGGAGCAAAC